rnacentral:rRNA from 1 species
GACGUAGGGCGCGAGCGUUGUCCGGAUUUAUUGGGCGUAAAGAGCUCGUAGGCGGCUUGUCGCGUCGUCCGUGAAAACUUGGGGCUCAACCCCAAGCUUGCGGUCGAUACGGGCAGGCUAGAGUUCGGUAGGGGAGACUGGAAUUCCUGGCGUAGCGGUGAAAUGCGCAGAUAUCAGGAGGAACACCGGUGGCGAAGGCGGGUCUCUGGGCCGAAACUGACGCUGAGGAGCGAAAGCGUGGGGAGCAAACAGG